GAUGAACGCUGGCGGCGCGCCUAAUACAUGCAAGUCGAGCGAACAGACGAGGAGCUUGCUCCUUUGACGUUAGCGGCGGACGGGUGAGUAACACGUGGGUAACCUACCUAUAAGACUGGGAUAACUUCGGGAAACCGGAGCUAAUACCGGAUAAUAUUUCGAACCGCAUGGUUCGAUAGUGAAAGAUGGCUCUGCUAUCACUUAUAGAUGGACCUGCGCCGUAUUAGCUAGUUGGUAAGGUAACGGCUUACCAAGGCAACGAUACGUAGCCGACCUGAGAGGGUGAUCGGCCACACUGGAACUGAGACACGGUCCAGACUCCUACGGGAGGCAGCAGUAGGGAAUCUUCCGCAAUGGGCGAAAGCCUGACGGAGCAACGCCGCGUGAGUGAUGAAGGUCUUCGGAUCGUAAAACUCUGUUAUUAGGGAAGAACAAACGUGUAAGUAACUGUGCACGUCUUGACGGUACCUAAUCAGAAAGCCACGGCUAACUACGUG
rnacentral:rRNA from 1 species